AAUUGGGUCUGGGUUUUGUGUUGUGUUUGUGCUGAUGUUCGUUUAUUUCUCAUUCACUAUACCCUCUCUCUCUGGUUUUUUCUGCUCGCCCCGCUCUGUUUUUUUUUUCUGUUUUCUUCCUUUUGUUCUCUGUUUCUUUUUUCUCUCCGUCCCCCCUGGUUUUGUUUUUGUCUUCCCCCCGGUUCUGUGACCCCCCUUUUUUUCUCCUUUCUUUCUUGUUUCUGAUUUGCAGGGGGCGAUCAAGAAGAUGGUGAUGUCAAUCGUUGGUUUUCUGGGUUUCGGUUUUUCUGCUCCUCGGUGUUUUUCGUUCCUUUUUUUUCCUCCUUCCGCGAGGUCGCCUUUGCCCAGCUUUUAUAAAGCCAGCGGCGGCCUCGGUGGUGGUAACGGUCGGCCUCCUAAAUGCUCUGUAACCGACGCCUUCAAUGAAGAAACGUACGCGUUGGCUGCCAACGGACGAAACGUCUCUGCCUUUAAUGGCAGAGCCGUUGCAGAGGAAGAAGACGGUGAACAGUAGCUGCAAAACGACUCCGUUUUCUAGUUCUAAAGGCUGCUUUCAAUUUGGUCCUUGUAAUUCUUAUAAUUUUGCAAUCAAGCCCCUAGUUAAAAUGUAAUUGGAUCCUUGCAUUUCCGGGCCAUUUUCAAGCUGGUCCUUGGAUUUUAAUUUUUGCAUUUUGGACCCCAAUUAAACCCCAAACUUUGAUAUUUCUUCAAUUAAAUCCCUG
rnacentral:lncRNA from 1 species